rnacentral:rRNA from 1 species
GUCGAGAAUCUUUCACAAUGGGGGCAACCCUGAUGGAGCGACGCCGCGUGGAGGAUAAGGUCUUCGGAUUGUAAACUCCUGUCAUGCGUGAACAAGGUUGCUUGGAUAAUACCUGAGCAAAUUGAUGGUAGCGCAAGAGGAAGAGACGGCUAACUCUGUGCCAGCAGCCGCGGUAAUACAGAGGUCUCAAGCGUUGUUCGGAAUCACUGGGCGUAAAGGGUGCGUAGGUGGCGUGGCAAGUCAGAUGUGAAAGCCCGGGGCUCAACCUCGGAACUGCAUCCGAUACUGCCAUGCUAGAGUACUGGAGGGGUGACUAGAAUUCUCGGUGUAGCAGUGAAAUGCGUAGAUAUCGAGAGGAAUACCAAAGGCGUAGGCAGGUCACUGGACAGUUACUGACACUGAGGCACGAAGGCCAGGGGAGCGAACGGGAUUAGAUACCCUGGUAGUUCC